rnacentral:misc_RNA from 1 species
UUUCCGUAGGUGAACCUGCGGAAGGAUCAUUACAGAGUUCAUGCCUUCACGGGUAGAUCUCCCACCCUUGAAUAUUUAUACCUUAGUUGCUUUGGCAGGCCGUGGAAACACCAUGGGCUCCGGCUUAUGCGUGCCUGCCAGAGGAAACAAACUCUGUUUUUAGUGAUGUCUGAGUACUAUAUAAUAGUUAAAACUUUCAACAACGGAUCUCUUGGUUCUG